rnacentral:rRNA from 1 species
ACGCUCGACACCUACGGGAGCAGCAGUGGGGAAUAUUGCACAAUGGGGGAAACCCUGAUGCAGCGACGCCGCGUGAGUGAAGAAGUAUUUCGGUAUGUAAAGCUCUAUCAGCAGGGAANAAAAUGACGGUACCUGAGUAAGAAGCCCCGGCUAACUACGUGCCAGUAGCCGCGGUAAUCUGAGCGGGCUGGCAAGGC